rnacentral:rRNA from 1 species
GGGGAAUUUUGCGCAAUGGACGAAAGUCUGACGCAGCAACGCCGCGUGGGUGAUGAAGGUCUUCGGAUUGUAAAACCCUGUCGUCGGGGACGAAGGUGUGGAUGUUAAUAGCGUUCAUGCUUGACGGUACCCGGAGAGGAAGCCCCGGCUAACUCUGUGCCAGCAGCCGCGGUAAUACAGAGGGGGCAAGCGUUAUUCGGAAUUAUUGGGCGUAAAGGGCGCGUAGGCGGUGAUUCAAGUUGGAUGUGUAAUCCCCGGGCUCAACCUGGGAACUGCAUCCAAGACUGGAUCGCUAGAGUGCUGGAGAGGGUGGUGGAAUUCCUCGUGUAGCGGUGAAAUGCGUAGAGAUGAGGAGGAACACCAGUGGCGAAGGCGGCCACCUGGACAGUAACUGACGCUGAGGCGCGAAAGUGUGGGGAGCAAAC